ACAUAGACCAUAUACACUCAUGCACCACAUAACAACGUUUCCGUCAAAGAUGGACCACAGGUGCAAUCGUGGUCCCAUCAGAUUAGUACACACAGCCUAGUUGUGUAGGAGGCUGUACCAUCUAGGUUUGUGUAUGUGCAGGCUG